CUUUGUGUCCCUCAUUUACUCAAAUGUGUCCAUUAUUUAGGCAGCUACCUGUAUCUCUGAUUUGCUUUUUGGAUACUCUUUGUCACGGAAUCCUCAACCUGAGUCCUCUUCAAACCUCUCUUCGUGGGUCCGAAACAAUGAUUCAUAGCGUGCAGAGAUCCUAUGGGCAAUGAAGUGUCUUCUCCCACUACUCCUGCAAAAGUGCGGAGGACAACGCCACAAUUUUCACCUGGAUGUUUCCGGACAGUGCUAUAUCCAAGUCAUAUGCCUGUGGGGAGAAGACAGCCUACAUGAUCAGUCAUGGUCUUGCACAUUACUUUCGGCACCACCUCCUGGACAAGUUGCAGAAGAAUGAAGGUUAUAUGCUGCUUUUUGAAGAAUCGCUCAACAAACCACAUCAGCUCAAACAAAUGGAUGUCCACAUAAGAUUUUUUGACCCCACAACCAACAAGGUUACCAUGCACUAUCUGGACUCACCCUUCAUGGGACAUGGCACAGCUAUGGACUGUCUUUCUCACUUCACAGAGUUGAGAGAGAAACUUAACAUGUCCCAUACUCUACAAAUUUGAUUGAUGGACCAAAUGUUAAUCACAAGUUUUACAAGAAUUCACAUCUGUCCUUGCAGAAGCCACAGAUUUAGAGCUAAUUGACACUGGAACAUGUUCCUUGCAGUGUCCAUAAAGCGUUUCGAAAUGCAUUUGACUUCAUAAACUGGGGUGUAAAGGGCACUUUAAAUACUUUCUAUAGACUGAUGAUGCAUGACGUUCCAUCAAGACGGGAUGAUAUUAUGACAAUCGCAGAUUCCUCAGUUUUCCCUAAAGUUUUGUUGACAUUGUUGGGUAGAAAACAGAAGUUGCAACUAGAGCCUUAGAGGAUUUGCCAAACCCAGUAACAAUUGUACAAAUGGUCGAAAGCGAUAAAUCCUACAGAACACCGACAUGCAUUACAUUCACAGCUGUAAAAGAUGCAAUAGCAGACCAACUUCUCCCAGCAACCAGUACCUUCAAAGCUACCAAACUGAGAGUCCCAUAAUCACAUUCCUGACAGGAGACUGGGCAGACUUAUUGACCAAUGUCAUGAGUAGAGUCUUGAAGAAAGAGGUGAGACACAUUGACACAGCCCCCAAAACUCUCAAAAUGCUCUGUGACAGAGUUUGAUGUCGUUGACAUUGGGAUUUCUACAUGUAAGUUGCUAAAACAAGUAGCUAGCAAAGUGAGAGGAUGACUUUUUUUGUUUAAGUGACACAAAGUACCUCUUUCAGUUGUUGAGGCUCAAAACCACAAUCAAGACCAGUUUUGUGAGACAGGCUGCUUGUCCCGACCCACAACAGAUGGCAUGGAAUCUUGCAUUUUGAGAGCAAAUUCAAACAUCUUUUCACACGCUUCAUUGACCUGAAGCUUUUUCCUCAGACAUGAUGUCACGAUGCCCAAAUGCAGGUGGAGUGUUUCAUACAGCAGGAGGUGUUGAGACAUCACAGACAUUGCGAGUAUGAUCUGCAGAGGACUGCUCUGGACACCUUUUUUUUUAGAGCAUCUGAAGGGUAAGGAGAACUACAGAGACCUGUGACAAGUAAAUUGUCAAAUUGUCCUUGUGCUCUUCCACGGACAGGCCUCAGUAGAAAGGGGGUUUGCAGUCAACUCCGCUCUCACUGUUGUCAACAAAAAGGAGCAGUGCUACACAGCACAGAGACUGGUGUAUGACACUAGAGAAUUUGGGUAGACUUUUAAUUGUUUUUGUUUUUUUAAGUCAACCUCACCAAUUACAUCCUCCUCCAAGGCAGAAAAAUCAAGGCUACCUAGAUGCACAGCAGAACCACAUGAUGGCAGAGAAAAGAAAAGAGGAAGAACAAAGACCUGAAAGAAAGAGACGCCUGGAAAAGGACAUAGAACUCCUGCAUAAAGAAAUGGAAAAGGUAGUUGCAGAGGCAGACCUCAAAGUCCAGAGAAUGUAUAAUCAAGUUUAGCAGCUUCUGAAGAUUAAAGGUUGAGCUUGGACUGUUGUGAGCACACUCUCUAGUAUAAUUUUAUUAACUUUAUUGACAUGGAUAAAAAAAAGAAUGUAUUCAGAGAGAGAAAGGUCUGAAGGAUCUAUCAGGUGAGCGGUGAAGUUGUUCUUUGCAAUGUCCACACUCUAUUCUCGCCUUCAUCCACCAUUUGCUUUCAAAGUCUUUCAACCAUUAUGACUAUUAGCUAAACAGCUUGUUGCAUAGUCUCAUCCCUCUGAUAUACUGUUCAGACUGCCACCUGUUAUACUUUAUAUACAAUGUCAAGAAUACAUAUGAACAUACUUCUCUCUCUUCCCACCCUCUCUCGCUCCACUUCAAUUAAUUGUAUUGACAUGGACCUUUUUUAGAUUGUUGCAAAUGGUUAAACAUAACAUUUUCGUCUGUAACUAGUGCUGAGCAAUUAGUGCUUUUUGAGGUUGGUUCGGUUUCAGUCAGAUAAUAAAUAGACAUUAAAUGCACUAUGCAUUAUGUGGGUUGAAUGCUGUAACAACACUGAAUAAAACAAUUCCUAAAAGGCCCAUGAUGGUAGUGGCUGCCGAUUUACUGGUUAUCACUUAUUAAUGAUCGUUAUUCACAUGUAAAAAAAAAUGUAUUAAAAAAAUAAGGAUAACUUCG
ensembl:lncRNA